ACUGUGGCCCAGCUGCGGUGCGGGACCGACACCCCCUCCCCGCGGGUAUGGGGUCGGGUAAUCCUCUACCCCUGAAGGACUCCCAUACAUGCCCACAUGACAUCCGUUAUCCAGACCACUGGGUGCGACCAGGCCUGGCACCCAUCCUCUGGACCACCUGACACCCCUCCUCUGGACCGCCUGGCAUCCAUCAUCCCGACUGCCUGACAUCUGUUUGAUAACCGUGUGGACCAGACCUAGGACUCAGAAUGCAGGACUGAUAAUUCUCAAGAAUAUAUCUUUUUUAAUAUAAGAACUUUUAACUUUUCUCCUUUGGGAUACUUCUGGGGUUUUGCCUAGCUGUGUUCCUAGCUGCAAACUCCAAGAGCUUUGAAUAAAUAUAAUUUACUAGCGAAGA